rnacentral:lncRNA from 1 species
AUAGCAAUUGCGUUUUCAUUUAGACAAUCAUUGUCUAUAAUUCUCAAUAGAAUUUAUUUCAUGAUACUCAUUAACUCCUUUCACAAAUAGCGUCAUAUUAUAUAUAAAAUAUCGUCAACGUUGACUUCCUUUCGGUUUCAUCAUAUUCCAUUCGUGACAUAAUUUUCAUUCAUGACAUAAUUCGUCGAGAUCUCUUUAUUAUCAUAAAUUUCAGGUACCUGAGAAGUUCUUCUGGAACUUAUAACUCAAUUAUGUCAAAUACUCUUUUGACAGUUUCAUAUCCUCACUUGGGUCAUCUUUCUUUUUAGCUCAUUUUCUUAUUUGAGGAUUUUUUUCUUCAUUGGAACCGAUUGAUCUACCACGCUUCAGGGUGGUUAAAAUUCAUUUGCAAUAUAAGACUGUCCAUCAGGGACAUCCAUUUUGAUCGUAGCAACGGUAUCAUUGAUAGUUGAUUUCAUAAACUUUGCAAAUAAUUUAUCUUUUGAACUUCUUGUUCAAACUAUUUUAUAUGAGGAUCAAUGUGAGAUAAUAACAUUAAUUUAUUUCAAGUGAUUCAUUUGAACUUUUGGUUCAUAUUUUUCAGCUGCUUAUUCUCCCCCCUAAUAUUGGGAAAAUUAAUUCAUCACUUGAAAAUCAGCCUACAUGGUUGUAAAUAAUUCUCCAAUUUUUUGGCUCAAGGUGAUUUAUAUAUAAUAGAUGGAGAUUCAUAUCAAAUACAUUUUCCCAAUAUUCUUUAAGAACCGUUUAAAUGCAUU